rnacentral:rRNA from 1 species
AUACGGAAGGUCCGGGCGUUAUCCGGAUUUAUUGGGUUUAAAGGGAGCGUAGGCCGUGGAUUAAGUGUGUUGUGAAAUGUAGGCGCUCAACGUCUGACUUGCGGCGCAUACUGGUCCACUUGAGUGCGCACAACGCGGGCGGAAUUUGUCGUGUAGCGGUGAAAUGCUUAGAUAUGACGAAGAACCCCGAUUGCGAAGGCAGCUCGCGGGAGCGCAACUGACGCUGAAGCUCGAAAGUGCGGGUAUCGAACAGGAUUAGAUACCCUGGUAGUCCGCACGGUAAACGAUGGAUGCCCGCUUUUCGGUCAUUAGACCGUGAGGCCAAGUGAAAACAUUAAGCAUCCCACCUGGGGAGUACGCCGGCAACGGUGAAACUCAAAUGAAUUGACGGGG